AGACUGGGACCUCCUGCCAGCUUCAGACUGGGACCUCCUGCCAACUUCAGACUGGGACCACCUACAGUCGGCGUCCCAGGUGACCUCAGCCUUGGCCUACGAAGACCCCAGCCAGCACUUCAGGGUGGAAUGAGUCUUCUUCUACUGCUUCAUUGUGACAAAGGAUGGAAAGUGUAAGGAUGGAAAGGACAAUGCAGGGAGGUGUUUAGGGCAUGUCCUAGGGGGAAGAUCCGGGACACGUUGGGAAGACUAUGUCUCCUGGCUGGACCUGGGAACGCCUUGGGAUUCUCCCGGGAGGAGCUGGACAAAGUGUCUGGGGAGAGGGAUGUCUGGGCUUCCCUGCUUAGGCUGCUGCCCCCGCGACCCGCCCUCGGAUAAGCGGAAGACGAUGAAUGGAUGGAUGGACUAAAUUAUUUGUAUCGGGACAACCCUACUCCACAUUUUAUAACUUUGUAGCCAAAAAGUUUGCCAAAAUAUUAGGAAGACCACGGAAGGAACAGUUCAGCUUCACGCUUAGUUACAUGUCAGGUGUUUGCGUGAAUUGCAGCGGAGUAUUUGGAUUCCUUCCCUGGUGGUUUCUCUCUGCCGUCUGUUCCCACGUUCAAAGUGUUUCUGCAGGCGUGAUGACAAUCAGAACGUUAUUUCCUGAAUCCAACAAGUGCGGGUCGGACGUCGCCCGAGGCCCUUAAUAGCUGAUACUACAGCCGACCUCCGACCUCUGCCGCCGUGUCUCGCCGCCCGCAUGUUUAAUUCACGGCGGUCUGCCGAGGCCUGGUUAGUAUUCCGAGCGUUUACCG